GACGAACGCUGGCGGCGUGCCUAAUACAUGCAAGUUGAGCGAUGAAGAUUGGUGCUUGCACCAAUUUGAAGAGCAGCGAACGGGUGAGUAACGCGUGGGGAAUCUGCCUUUGAGCGGGGGACAACAUUUGGAAACGAAUGCUAAUACCGCAUAACAACUUUAAACAUAAGUUUUAAGUUUGAAAGAUGCAAUUGCAUCACUCAAAGAUGAUCCCGCGUUGUAUUAGCUAGUUGGUGAGGUAAAGGCUCACCAAGGCGAUGAUACAUAGCCGACCUGAGAGGGUGAUCGGCCACAUUGGGACUGAGACACGGCCCAAACUCCUACGGGAGGCAGCAGUAGGGAAUCUUCGGCAAUGGACGAAAGUCUGACCGAGCAACGCCGCGUGAGGGAAGAAGGUUGUCGGAUCGUAAAACUCGGUUGGUAGAGAAGAACGUUGGUGAGAGUGGAAAGCUCAUCAAGUGACGGUAACUACCCAGAAAGGGACGGCUAACUACGUG
rnacentral:rRNA from 1 species